CUGACCGUCCCCUGCUCGCAGCAUCCCAGGGUCUCUUUAAUCUCCUUUUGGGCCCCACUGACGCGCCCUCCGCUGUUUCAGCCCCGAACAGAGCCACGGUUCCGUUGGACCCGGCUUCAGGAGGCGGUCUCUGCGGCCGGGGGCGAGUGUCACGUGGCCAGCUCUCAGGUGUUGGCUGCCUCAGCUGGAGUUGAGGGGGCUGGUGGAAUAUGGAGGGUCCGAAGGGCUUUGGGUCUGGGGCUCCCCUGGGGGAGGGCACAAAGUCUGCCCCCAAAGCUGUGUUUGGUAUUGGGAAGCCACCUCCAGCCGUGAGUGAAGCCCCUGCCUGGGAGCAUGGGUGGUCCUGCUGUCCAGCCUGAGAGGACCUGAAUUCACCUGGCCCAGAGGAGGGAAGGAGCUGCCCCUGCUAGUGUCUGGUAGUCGAUGGGGCCAGGGGAAGGCCCAGAGACAAUGGCCAUUUCACUGACACUGCCUCAGUUUCCUCGUCUGUAAAAUGGGAAUAUCAAUCCCUGUCUGCCAGGGCUAUCAUGAGAAUCACAUGAGUAACUGUACAGUUAUUGUAAACCUUAAAGUGCUCCGUAAAUUCUGGCCGUUAUUUUUGUCACUGUUAGAUUCUGGGUUGGGGAGGAUGCAAGGGGUAGGAGACACACACAUAUACAUAAAUGUGCAUAUUUGGGGAGGAUCCAAGAGGACCUGGGGGGGCUGUCGUAGACACCUCUUGGGGCUUGAGCAGAAUAGAAUCCGUGGCAACAUAAUUCCCUGAAACGCUGGUUUCCCAGCUUCUGUGAGGGUGAUUCAAACCCUGCAUCCCGGGGUGGGGUAUGGGCCGAGUGUGAUGGGUUUGGAGUCAGGAUUCUUGGGCUUCUAGUAGGACAAUGCUGAGCAAACCUCAGUUUCCCCAUAUGUAGACUGGGGGAGGCCUUGUUAGCACCAUAUGAGAAAAGUAUCCUGUGAGCACAAAGUGCCCUCUAAAGGCAGGGUAUUCGUGAUUUAUUUUUAAAAUAGUUUUUCUUUUCAAUUAUGUGCAAAGUCAAUGGUCUUAGAAAUUUUUUUUUUUUUUUUUUUUGCUGUGGCAAUUGGGGUUAAGUGACUUGCCCAGGGGUCAUACAACUAGUUAGUGGUAAGUGUCUGAAGCCAGAUUUGAACUCGAGUCCUCCUGGCUUCAGGGCUGGUGCUCUAUCCACUGCACUGCUUAUUUUGAGUUCCAAAUUUUCCCCUCUGUCUCCCUUUCUUCCUCCCUAAGAUGAUAAGCAAUAUGAUGUAUGUUGUACAUGUGCAGUCAUGUGAAUCGUUUCCAUUAGAGAUGUUAUGAAAGAAGAAACAGACUGUAAAUCAGAGAAGAAAGUGGAAAUCGUGGGUUCUGCCUUCAGACCCCGCCGGUUCUUUCUCUGAAGUGAACGACAUUUUCCAUCACGAGUUCUUCAGAAUUAUUCUAAGUCAUCAUGUUGCUGAGAAGAGCGACGUCAUUCCCUGGCGAUCAUUACACAAUGUUGCCAUGACUUGUACAGUGUCCUCCUGGCACUGAUGGGAAUCCCAUCAAUUUCCAAUUUUUUUGCCACUAUAGAAAGAACUGCUGUAAAUAAAUAUGUAAAUAUCUAUUGAUUUUUACAAACAAGUCAUUUCCUCCCUUUUAAAAAUCUCUUUGGGAUACAGAUGUAGCCGUGGUAUUGCUGGCUCAAAGGACAUCCAUAAUUUGAUGACCCUUUGGGCGGAAUCCAAAUUGCUCUUCAAAAUGGUUGGGUCAGUUCCCAGCUCCACCACAGUUAGUGUCCCAAUUUUCCGUAUCUUCUCCAGCAUUUAUCAUUUCCCUUUUCUGUCAUAUGAAUCAAUCUGAUAGAGGUGAGAUGGUGCCUCAGAGUUGUUUUCAGAUGCAUUAGUUAGAAUAUAUUUUUUUGGGUAUGACCAUAGAUAACUGAUUUCUUCCUUUGAAAACUGCCUGUUCAAAACAAUUCUGAUUCAAAGGAAAAGUACAAGAAAUUUAUAGUAGCUCUUUUUGUGGUGCCUAAGAAUCGUAAAUCAGAGGGGUGCCCAUUAACUGGGGAAUGGCUGAGUAAGCUGUGAUACAUGAUUGCAAUGGAAUAUUACACUAAAGGAAAUAAGCUGAAUAAUUUCAGAAAAACCUGCAAAGAUUUACAUGAGCUGACUCAGAAUGAAGUAAGCAGAACCAGGAGAACUUUGUACACAGUGACUGCAGCUUAUUAUCCACCACCAGAGAAAAAACUGAUAUUUGAAGAUUGAAGCAUACUAUUUCUUUUACUUGUUCACUUUUUCCUUUGUUCAAAUCUUCUUGUACAAAAUUAUUAAUAUGGAAAUGUUCAAGGGUUAAUGUUGAAAAAUUUUCCAUGCAUAUGUUUUGAAUAUAAAAAGCUUUUUAAAAAUGUGGAAAUAUUUUCUAUUUUACUGGGGGGUUUUCUUCCUAAAACUAGCUUCUAGUUUUAUUUAUUAGCACAGUAAUUUUCAUAUUUUCAAUUUUAUUCUUACCUUUGGUUUUCAAGAUUUCCAAUUUGGUGCUUAAUUGGGAGUUUUGUUCUUUUGCUAGGUUUUUGGUUGUUGUCGUUGCAUGCCCAAUUUAUUGAUUUACUCUUUCUCUAUUUUAUUGAUGUAAGGGUUUUCUCCUAAGUAUUGCUUUGGCUGCAUCCCAUAAAUUUUGGUGUAUUGUCCUGUUGUCAUUGUCUUUGAUGAAAUUAUGAUCUGUGAUCUGUUCUUUGAUUCUUAUUUUUUAGGAUUAGAUUAUUUUGUUUUCAAUUAAAUUUUCGUUUUUGUUUCCACUGCCCUUUUUUCAAAGUAAUUGAUUUUUUUUUUUUGCAUUAUGACCUAAAAAGAAUGCAUUUAACAUUUCUGCCUUUGUAUAUUUAAUUGUGAAGUCCUAAUAUUUGGUCAAUUUUAGUGUAAGUCCAUUACCACUGAGACAAGGGAGUAUUCUUUUUCAUUCCCAGUCAUUUCUUCUCCAGUGGUCCAUCAUAGAAAACUUGUCUAAAAUUCUUUUCACCUUCUUUACUUCUAUCUUGUUUAUUUUGUGGUCAUAUUUAUCUAGUUCUUAGAGGGAAAGUUGAGGCCCCCCUUGAGUUCAAAAUUUAUGGGAUGCAGCCAAAGCAAUACUUAGGAGAAAACCCUUACAUCAAUAAAAUAGAGAAAGAGUAAAUCCCUGUAACUUAACUUUUCCUUUAAGAAUUUGGAUGCUUUACCACCUGGUAUAUAUCUAUUUAGUAUUGAUAUUAAUUCAUUGUCUAUAGUUCCUUUUAGUAAGAUGUAGUUUCCUUAACUCUUUUAAUUAGAUUUAUUUUUGCUUUUGCUUUGUCUGAGGUCAUGAUUGCUACUACUUUUUUUUUUUUUUUCAGUAUUUUACUAUUACUUUGUGUCAUUAGCUUCCACUUGUCCAGUUCUAAUUUAAAAAAAAAAAUAUUUUCUUCAUUUAGUUUUUUUUAACCUUUCCCAUUUGGCCAAUUCUACUUUUUAAGGAAUUGGGGUUGUUUUAGUACAUUUUUGUGCAUUUUUCCUAUUCCUUGUGCUUCUUUUAUCAAGGUUUUCAUGAUUCUUUUGUAUCAGCUUCAUUUGUUUUCCCGAUUUUUCUUUUGCUCCUCUUACUUGGUUUUUUAAAUAAUUUUUUACUUAUUUGAGAAGUUCUUUUUGGACCUGAAUUGAAUUCACAUUUUUCUGUGAGAUUUUGAAUAUAGGUAUUUUGAUAUCGUCCUCUUCUGAGUUUGUGCUUGAUCUUCCCUGUCACCAUAAUAUCCUUCUAUGGUCAGGUUCUUUUUCCCCCUCAUCUUUUCCAGCCUCUGUUGUUCAGCUCUGCUCCCAUGUGGAAGAGGAGCUGUCCUAAGCUUCUUGGACCUUGGAUUGCUGUUCCCAGCUGUCUGUCAGAGAUGAACAAGUACCACAGAGGGACCCUUCACCUGGUGCUAUGGAAAGGGGGCCUGUCAGCUGACCUACUAUUGCAUUGGUGCUAUGGAAAAGAUUUUGAGGAGGCCUGGAGUUGUACUGGGACCUUGGCACAGGACCCUGGUGAUGUGCAGGGAUUGGGGAGAGGACUGGUCAGGGUCAGUGAGAAGAGGGAGCGGCCCACCUUGGGCUGCAUCGGGGCAGUGGGGCCUUGGUCACUCACCUGAGCUGAGGUUUGGGGCCUCCUGCCAGCUUGCUGAUGCAAGACAUGCUGCUGACUUGCCUGGGCACUACCAGUCCCAGACUCCCUUUUUACCCAAGUGAGACAGACAACCCAACAGCCCACCAACUCGACCUGGGCUGGAAAAAAGAGUGGGUUACAACAGAAAUGAUUGAACAGCCACCGCCGCCCCUCGCUCCUGUAUUGCCACCUUCUUUACUGUUGGGUCACUUCUUGUUGUUUGGCCAUUCGGUCCUUUCUGACCCUUCACGACCUCCUGGCCCACAGCAGGCCAGGCCCUUCUGCCCUCUACAAUCUGUCUGAGCUCCUGCCCGCAGGGACUCACUCUGCCCAUCUCCUCCUCUGCUGUCUCUUCCUUUUGCCUUCAAUCUUUGCCAGCAUCAGAGUUCUGCCUUCCCAAUAUGUGGCCUUUUCAUUUCAGUUUCACUUCAGUGUCUGGCCUUCCAGUGAGCAGCCUGAUUUAACUUCUGCACGUAUUAACUGACUCGAUCUUCCUGCUGCCCAGGGGACUCUCAGAAGUCUUCUCCAGCACCAGUCUGUGAGGGUCCCUUCUGUGGCUCAGCUGUUCUUACAGUCCAACUCUCCCAGUCAUACGCUGCUACUGAAAAGGCCUAUAUGGAUCUUGGGGGGCAAGGCAACUCUGCUUUUUUAGCCUGCCAUCCAGAUUUGCUGUGGUUUCCUUGCAAGGGGCGAUGGUCACAGUCACCAUCCGCAGUGAUCUUUGAGCCUAAGUCUGACACUGCUUCCUUUUCUUUUCCCUUUCUGUGCUAUCAGGUGCCAAGAUCUUUGUUUUUGUUAAGCUUCAAGUCAGCUUUUCUGCCAUCAGAGUGGUGUCGCCUGUGUUUCAGAGAUUAUUGGGAUCUCCCCUGGCAACUGCAGUUAGAUUCAUCCAGCCGAUGUUAUAGAUGCAUUCAUGGGUGGAUUUGAGAUUGUGGCUACAAAAAGUAAUCAUUAAAGGCCUGGGAGGUGUUUCAUGGAGCGCCCCAGGAUGCCUCGUUGGGCCUGUUAUUGAAAUUGUUUAUAGUGGCUUGGACAAAGGUACAGCUGGGAUGCAGAUCAAGUUUUCAGUUGACACAGAACUGCAGGAUAGCUAAUGUUCUGUGUGGCAAAGUCAGCGUCUGAGAAAGAUCUCGAAGACUUGAACUUUGGACCAGAUUGAGUAAGGUGAACUGAAGCAGGGACACAGGUUACAAGGAUGGCAGGUGGGUUUUGAUAAUUUUUGAUAGCCUUUCUUCUGACAGAGAUCUGGGUUCUAAAUCUGUGGAGUAACAUGGUGUCCCACCAGAGGGAGGAUGCGUUUGGAUCCUGCCUUCGGGGAGACUCUGAGUCUUGGGACAAGCAGGUGAUAGCUAAUGGUCCUCAGCCCCAGGCAGAAUAUGUAGACUUUGUUCUUUGCUCUGUGAGUCACGUUGAGGAAGGACAUCAACAUCUUGGAGGCCAUCCAGUGUCUCCUGGGUCCAAACUGGCAUAUUGUGAUUUAUUGGUAGGCGUUCACAUUGCCCUGGGGAGUCAAGGUAGGGAGGGCUCCCAAGUUCUUUGCCCUUUACGACCAACCUCUUUGGCCUGGAAAAGGGAAGAUUCGAGGACAUAGGCCCAGAACCAGGAGCAGUGGGGAGUGGGGAAGGGGAGAGUCGUGAAGAUGGAGCCUGAGCUCUCUGACUGUCCGAAGAAUUCUCUGCCAAGAACUGCCCAAGUUUGUUUUUAUAGAUGUGCAUCCGUUAUAAAAUAGGAUUUAUUUUUGACAUUUGGUGGCCUGUAAUGUUCCUUCACAAUUUCUUCACUGAGAGAACGGAACCAGGAGAACAUUGUACACAGUACCAGCCAUAUUGUGGUGAAGAACCGGGAAUGACUUGACUAUUCUCAGCAAUCCAGUGAUCCAAGACAACCCCAAAGGAUUCAUGAUGAAAAAUGUUAUCUGCCUCCAGAGAAAAUCUGGAAUCGAGUCGGAAUGCAGAUCGAAAUAGACUAUUUUUCACCUUA